rnacentral:lncRNA from 1 species
GUCCGGUGCUGGAGUCAUUCUGAAACCAUCCUGUGCUCCCCAGUCUCGUGGAAAAAUUGUCUUCCAAGAAACUGGGCCCUGGUGGCAAAAAGGUUGGUGCCCGCUGGUUCAGGGGAAGAAAAGCCAGGCGAGGUUAUUCACGGGUGCAGCAAACACCAUUCCUGCUGACUCUGCUCUCGUCACCAUCAGGACCUCCGUUUCCGUUGCCAUCUUUUCAGGAACUUGCAAAGCACACAUGUGGCUUGUGUGUGUGGCUGGUUCAGAGUUCCAGUUUGGAGGCCAGUUUGGCGCCUAGAGUGGGAGCGGGGGCCCUCAGCAGCCCUCCCCGUCUGGACUCUGCCCUCCCCUGUCUCUGCUGCAGCCGCCAGCAUCCAGAGGCUUGGUGCUGCCUGAGUCUCUUCCAGACACGGCUGGCGGGUCCCCCUCUGAAGUGAGAACUUCCUGCCUUCCGGAUUCCUCGGAACUGACAUCUGGGAGAAGAGGCAGAUGAGGGCAUUCCCCUGCAUGCAGGUGACCCGUAUCUGAGUGCCCUUGCCCAGGGCACGAAGCUCCAGGCUGGCCUCUGAGAGAGCGCGGAUGGAUCAGGUAUAAAUUUAUCCUUGUUGACCUCACAGCCUGCGAAGACUGAAGAGUGUCACUGGAGAGCCACACUCGGGGGAACGGGCACUUUGAGUGUCUGGGAACGAACAGGAGGGGAGAAGGGGCUGUGGGCACUUGGCGGAGGUGAAAGCUGAGCUGGCAGGAAGGAUGGGAACAGCUGGCUCUACAGCAGAGAUCCUCAGCCCCGGCAAAGUUGAUGCUAUGGUCCAGAUGCUUCUCUGUUGUGGGGCCGCCCUGUAUACACUAGGAUGUUUACCAGCCUCCUAGGCUUCUACCUAGGGGGACCCCUCCACUGGUGACGCCCCAAAUGCGUCUGUGUUAUCGUUUUGUUGUUUAGUCACUGAGUUGUGCCUGACUCUUGGAGACCCCGUGGACUGUAGCCCACCAGGCUCCUCUGUCCAUGGGAUUUUCCAGGCACUAGAAUGGGUUGCCAUGCCCUCCUCCAGGGGAUCUUCCCAACUCAGGGAUUGAACCCGGGUCUCCUGUGGCUCCUGCGUCGGCGGGCUGAUUCUUUACCACUAGCACCGCCUGGGAAGCCCUUGAGCCAAGUGGGGAUUUAAAUCUCCUCCACGGGGAAUGAUUAAGGUUUACAGACAACGUGUGGUCAGCUGGAAUGGGUUCUCACAUAUUAGUUGUAUGUGUAAAGGCCACCCUAGGAAUACUCUGGCUUCUCCCCUUUGAGUGAAUACUUGGAAAGAAGAGAACAAUAAACCGUUGUGGGAAGGGAAAUCUGAGUCCUGA